AUAAGCCUUUGAGCUGAGCCAGCCAGGGGAGAGGGUGGCUAACCCAGGUUGUGGUUGAGAGUGUACUCCUGAAGACUCCAAGAAACUGUGAAGCAGCCCUGCCAGUGAGAGUACCUGGCUGAGUGAUCCAGGGAUGUGGAGCCAGGGGGGCUACGUCUGCUGCCUCCUCCAUGUAACCCUGUGAGAAAAGAAGACCCUGUCACAGACACUGCCACACUUUGCAACAGACUGGGAGAGAAAUGCAUAAAUACUGCAGUCUCAAAUAGGAAUAGGCUGUGCAGCAUGGACAGCACUGCCCUAGUGUAGAGGGGCAAGGCCAGAAUACAGGAAACCCAUAUAAGGUGCCCAAGAUGAGCCACCAGGAAGUGUUGAACACUCAAAACUGGAACUGAAGUUGAGGUGUGAAAUCUUGGCCCCACUGAAGUCAAUGAAUCUUUUUUCACUGAUGUCAAUGGAUGUGUCGAAACCACAUUAAUGCUGUUCCCAAGGAGAGCCGCUUUUCAGCAGUGCCCCACCUAACCACUAUCAUGGCUGCUUUUAAGAUUUGCUUUGAAGCGCUUGAUAUCAGCCUUGGAGGUCACCCAUGGAGCACCUUUUGCUAUCACACUUUUGGGUCUGAUGUAUGUGAGCAGGAGGGGUGGGCAGGGCAUCCCCAAGACUGCAGAAAUACCUCAUGGAACAAGAAGUUUAAUUGGUAAACACUGCUGAUGACUUAUAAUUGCUCCAUAUCUUUGGCAAGGAAGCAGUGCAUUCUGGGGGAAUAAGUACAUGAUUGGAAGAUCUUAAAUUCUAACCUUGUCCCUGCAUUGAUUCCAGGUGUGGGCUAGGUGAGUCUCUACCUCUGAUGCUAUAUCUGUAAAAUGAGGUGAAUAAUAUUUUUUUUUCAAGGGAGAUGAGGAGAUAUAUUCAUUAAUAGUUAUUUGUGGUGCACUACGAGGCCACACUGAAGGCAUAUCUACACACCAACUUACUGUGCCAUGCAGCAGUUUGCUCAAACAUGCCCUGCUGCUCCAUAUGCUUUGGAUUCCCAAAUUCAAAGCAGUGUUAAAACACUGGCAAAGAGAGGUAGUUAGCUAUGCUAGUCUUAUGUCUAGCAGAAGGCAGGGUAGAGAUUCACCUUCUUAGAUUAAUGGAAUCAGAGAUGUGUAAGCUUUUGUAAGCAAGAGUUCACUUUAUCAGAUGCUAUGAAGGGACAUGCACAGAGCUCUUUACCCUACCUUCAACCCUAGUAGAGUCAUAAAGCUGGGUUCUGCCUCUCAGCAGUGCUAACAAGUAUCUAGAGAACAGUCAAUGAUGGCUACUACAUUACUUAUGGUUCAGAAGGUAACACUGGCAAAGAAGUCCUGUAUGCCUGAACAUGGUAAGUCUGCUAUCUAGAUUUGCCCUAAUUUCCUAGAAAAAAUCCUAAGGGAAUGAAUAACUCUAUAUUCAUUUGUUGCUUUUAAUAUUUUGUAGCAAAAAGGUAAUGGGUCACUGAUUAAACAAUAAGGUAAAAUUUUGGACAGUUGAGGCACUUUGUGAGCAUCUUCUAUACUGAGCAUUGAUGAGAUGGGAAAAAAGGACAAAAGCAUAAUGCAUGUGCAUGUGAGGCCAACAUGAAGAUUGCACAGGCAAUCUAAAUUAUGGUCUGUCUUUUAAGAACUUGAUUUUGCAACCUAAGUAAUGCUCAUUUAACUCAAUGAUAUUUUAAAAAUAUUUUUCUGGCCAUGUCUCUAUCUAAAAAGGGAGUGGGUAUUCCCACUUGAGCUGGAUAGAUUAUGGAAAACAAAAAGACAGCAAAUAUGUACAACUGUGACAGGUGGAUCUCAAAACCUGUGAGAGUUUAGGCCACAAAUCUUACUCCUAUCAGUUCAAACUCAGACAUCAAAUUGCCAAGGCCUACGUGCUGCUAAAAUGAUGCAAAAACUUACAUUUCCUGCUUGAUAAUAAAACAGAAAAUCUGCAUUUACUCAAUUGUAAAAUGAGAUUUUUCUCCCAUUUAGCAUGGCAAUGGGGAAGCUCCUUGCCUUAGAAUCAUGUAUGAAGGUGGCGUGGGAGCAGGCAGCUGCUGUGGCUCAGGCUCCAGACUCUACCUGGGGUUGUGGCUAUAGAUGCAGCUGUAGCUACUUCCUGCCCCUCCCCACCCUAUUGUCCCUGCACCUGCCAUCUUUCCCCUGCAGCCUCUUCUCCUCCAUCUCUCCCCUCACAAAGCCUCUGUUCCCCCACAUGCCCCUCUCUCUCCUGCCCUUACUUUUGCUCAUGCCAGUAGGCUGUAUGCAUGCUGCAGCCUGGGACACUAUGUGCAGCCCCAGCUCAGGCUGCAGCAGCAGCACGCAGCCCAUACAACUGCUACCGGGGGUGAGCUGGGGCCAAGCUACAUGUCUCAGGUUAGUACAGGGAUGGAGCCUGCCAGCAUGAAGUAAAGAGGAGGGGAGAGAGGAAGGAGCAGAGGCUGGAGAGAGCAGAGGUGUGGGGGAAGGGCAG